rnacentral:rRNA from 1 species
GAUGAACGCUGGCGGCGUGCCUAAUACAUGCCAGUCGAGCGAACGGACGAGAAGCUUGCUUCUCUGAUGUUAGCGGCGGACGGGUGAGUAACACGUGGAUAACCUACCUAUAAGACGGGUAUAACUUCGGGAAACCGGAGCUAAUACCGGAUAAUAUUUUGAACCGCAUGGUUCAAAAGUGAAAGACGGUCUUGCUGUCACUUAUAGAUGGAUCCGCGCUGCAUUAGCUAGUUGGUAAGGUAACGGCUUACCAAGGCAACGAUGCAUAGCCGACCUGAGAGAGUGGUCGGCCACACUGGAACUGGACCACCGUCAAGGCUCCUACGGGACGCCGCAGUCGGGAAUCUUCCGCAGUGGGCGAAAGCCUGACGGAGCAACGCCGCGUGAGUGAUGAAGGUCUUCGGAUCGUAAAACUCUGUUAUUAGGGAAGAACAUAUGUGUAAGUAACUGUGCACAUCUUGACGGUACCUAAUAAGAAAGCAACGGCUAACUACGUG